UACGUAGGGUGCAAGCGUUGUCCGGAAUUAUUGGGCGUAAAGAGCUCGUAGGCGGUCUGUCGCGUCUGCUGUGAAAACUCAGGGCUUAACCCUGAGCUUGCAGUGGGUACGGGCAGACUAGAGUGCGGUAGGGGAGACUGGAAUUCCUGGUGUAGCGGUGAAAUGCGCAGAUAUCAGGAGGAACACCGGUGGCGAAGGCGGGGUCUCUGGGCCGAAAAUUGACG
rnacentral:rRNA from 1 species